rnacentral:rRNA from 1 species
UACAGGGGGGGCAAGCGUUGUUCGGAAUUACUGGGCGUAAAGGGUUUGUAGGUGGCCACUUAAGUCAGACGUGAAAUCCCUCAGCUUAACUGGGGAACUGCGUCUGAUACUGCGUGGCUUGAGUGCAGGAGAGGAACGCGGAAUUCCAGGUGUAGCGGUGAAAUGCGUAGAUAUCUGGAGGAACACCGGUGGCGAAGGCGGCGUUCUGGACCGUAACUGACACUGAAAAACGAAAGCCAGGGGAGCAAACGGG